rnacentral:rRNA from 1 species
UACAGAGUUUUCUAAACUCCCAACCCUAUGUGAACUUACCUUUGUUGCUUCGGCGGCGGAGGCUACCCUGCGGGAGAAUACCACUUAGUGGUUAUCUUGUAGUUUCAGGUACAUCAGCUACCCGGUAGUCAUCCCCGCCGGCGGCCAACUAAACUCUGUUUUCUUUGGAAUUCUGAAUAACAAACUUAAUAAGUUAAAACUUUCAACAACGGAUCUCUUGGUUCUGGCAUCGAUGAAGAACGCAGCGAAAUGCGAUAAGUAAUGUGAAUUGCAGAAUUCAGUGAAUCAUCGAAUCUUUGAACGCACAUUGCGCCCAUUAGCAUUCUAGUGGGCAUGCCUGUUCGAGCGUCAUUUCACCACUUAAGCCCUGUUGCUUAGCGUUGGGAGCCUACGGCACGGCCCGUAGCUCCUUAAAGUGAUUGGCGGAGUUGGUUCUCACUCUAAGCGUAGUAACUAUAUCUCGCUUCUGUAGUGGUCCCGGCCCCUGCCGUAAAACCCCUUAUACAAAGGUUGACCUCGGAUCAGGUAGGAAUACCCGCUGAACUUAAGCAUAUCAAUAAGCGGAGGAAAAGAAACCAACAGGGAUUGCCCUAGUAACGGCGAGUGAAGCGGCAACAGCUCAAAUUUGAAAUCUGGCUCUAGGGCCCGAGUUGUAAUUUGCAGAGGAUGAUUUUGGCGC